rnacentral:SRP_RNA from 1 species
UCGUGCUAGACGGGGAGCUAGCGGUGCCCUGUAACCCGAGAACCGCUUACGCGGGGUUGAAGCCCCUCUCCCGGGUCGCAGCGCAGCCAGGGCAAGGCUGUUCAGGGCGGCGGAUUGGACCCUGCGCAACAGACGCUGGCGAACCCCGUCAGGUCCGGGAGGAAGCAGCGGUAAGUCAGGCGGUCUGUGUCGCGGCGGCUGCUAAUCCAUCAACCCCCUGGCCCGCCACCCCGGCUGAGGCGGACACAAAAGAGGGUGCACGG